GAUGAACGCUGGCGGCGUGCCUAAUACAUGCAAGUAGAACGCUGAGGCUUGGUGCUUGCACCGAGCGGGUGAGUUGCGAACGGGUGAGUAACGCGUAGGUAACCUGCCUGGUAGAGGGGGAUAACUAUUGGAAACGAUAGCUAAUACCGCAUGACAACAUUAAUUGCAUGAUUACUGUUUAAAAGGCGCAAUUGCUGCACUACCAGAAGGACUUGCGUUGUAUUAGCUAGUUGGGGAAGUAACGGCCCACCAAGGCGACGAUACCUAGCCGACCUGAGAAGGUUAUCGGCCACACUGGGACCGAGACACGGCUCAGACUCCCUCGGGGAGCCGCAGUAGGGAAUCUUCCGCAAUGGACCGAAGUCUUACCGAGCAACGCCGCGUGAGUGAAUAAGGUUUUCCGAUCGUAAAGCUCUGUUGUAAGAGAAGAACGAGUGUGAUAGUGGAAAGUUCACACUGUGACGGUAUCUUACCAGAAAGGGACGGCUAACUACGUG
rnacentral:rRNA from 1 species